rfam:Ovis aries breed Texel chromosome 13, whole genome shotgun sequence.
UCCCUGCUGACUCAGACAGUAAAGAAUCUGCCUGCAAUGCAGGAGAUCCGGGUUCGAUCCCUGGGUUGGGAA